UACGGAGGGGGCAAGCGUUGUUCGGAAUUACUGGGCGUAAAGGGCGCGCAGGCGGCUGCUCAAGUCAGGCGUGAAAGGCCUGGGCUCAACCCGGGAAUUGCGCUUGAGACUGGGCUGGCUUGAGUGCGGGAGAGGAUGGUGGAAUUCCCAGUGUAGAGGUGAAAUUCGUAGAUAUUCGGAAGAACACCAGUGGCGAAGGCGACUUACUGGACGACCGUUGACGCUGAGGUGCGAAAGCGUGGGGAGCAAACAGG
rnacentral:rRNA from 1 species